AAUCAACGCUGGCGGCGUGCCUCAGACAUGCAAGUCGAACGCGAAAGUUCCCUUCGGGGGGCGAGUAGAGUGGCGCACGGGUGAGUAACACGUAGGUAAUCUACCUUUGGGUGGGGAAUAACAGCCGGAAACGGCUGCUAAUACCGCAUAAUGCAGCGGCUCGACAUCGAGACAGUUGUUAAAGCGGGGGAUCGCAAGACCUCGCGCCUAAAGAGGAGCCUGCGGCGGAUUAGCUUGUUGGUGAGGUAAUGGCUCACCAAGGCAUCGAUCCGUAGCCGGCCUGAGAGGGCGGUCGGCCACACUGACACUGACAUACGGGUCAGACUCCUACGGGAGGCAGCAGUCGGGAAUUUUGGGCAAUGGGCGCAAGCCUGACCCAGCAACGCCGCGUGAAGGAU
rnacentral:rRNA from 1 species